rnacentral:rRNA from 1 species
UCCGGCCUGAGAGGGUGAACGGACACACUGGAACUGAGACACGGUCCAGACUCCUACGGGAGGCAGCAGUAGGGAAUAUUGCUCAAUGGGGGAAACCCUGAAGCAGCAACGCCGCGUGGAGGAUGAAGGUUUUAGGAUUGUAAACUCCUUUUGUUAGAGAAGAUAAUGACGGUAUCUAACGAAUAAGCACCGGCUAACUCCGUGCCAGCAGCCGCGGUAAUACGGAGGGUGCAAGCGUUACUCGGAAUCACUGGGCGUAAAGAGCGCGUAGGCGGGAUAGUCAGUCAGGUGUGAAAUCCUAUGGCUUAACCAUAGAACUGCAUUUGAAACUACUAUUCUAGAGUGUGGGAGAGGUAGGUGGAAUU